rnacentral:tRNA from 1 species
UCCAUCAUGGUCCAGUGGUUAGGAUUCCUCGCUUUCACCGAGGAGGCCGGGGUUCAAUUCCCCGUGUUGGAG